CUACGGGUCGCACCAGUGAGGAAUAUUGCACAAUGGGGGGAACCCUGAUGCAGCAACGCCGCGUGGAGGAUGACGCAUUUCGGUGUGUAAACUCCUUUUAUAUGUCAAGAAAAUGACGGUAGCAUAUGAAUAAGCACCGGCUAACUCCGUGCCAGCAGCCGCGGUAAUACGGAGGGUGCAAGCGUUACUCGGAAUCACUGGGCGUAAAGGACGCGUAGGCGGGUUGGAAAGUCAGGUGUGAAAUCCUACAGCUUAACUGUAGAACUGCACUUGAAACUUCUAAUCUAGAGUAUGGGAGGGGGAGAUGGAAUUAGUGGUGUAGGGGUAAAAUCCGUAGAUAUCACUAGGAAUACCUAAAGCGAAGGCGAUCUCCUGGAACAUUACUGACGCUAAGGCGUGAAAGCGUGGGGAGCAAAAAGGAUUAGAUACCCCUGUAGUC
rnacentral:rRNA from 1 species